CGUAGCUUCUGCCGCCGGGGCCGCCGGCGCAUAUAGCGCAGCCCCUCCCCACUUCGACCACACCUUCCUCCCCAGCACCGGUAGGAGGUACGCCCUCACCCCACCCCACCCCCACGCCCUACUAAAACUUCCACCGGACACCUCCCUCUUCCUCCUACCUUCUUCCUCCCAAAUCCUCCGAACUUCUUCCCGUCGGCCAGUGCACCCCAGGCCCUCCCCUAGCCCUCCUACUUCUUCUUUUCCCUGUCCACCAAGCACCAACGCGGCCACCUCCUACCUCCCGCGCGCGCCGCACUGCUCUCCACCCCGCGGCCGCCCAGCUACCUCCAACAGCAGUCGUCCUGCUGGAUCCGGAGAGAUCCGGCGUAUCCGCCCUAGAUCUGGCGCGGCCCGCCGCCACUCUCAUUCCCGGUGAGCCGCCCCGCCACUCCUCGCCCCGACGGACGAAUCCACCUCCUCCUCUGGUGCCCGAUCCUGCCGCCCCUCCACUCCCCAUCAUCACCAUGCCACCAGGGCGAGGUCAUCAUGCCACCACCAAUCCCGCGGCGAAUCCGCAACUUGCACAACAGCAGCUCACCCUGACGAGGCGUGCAGUUCGUCUGCCCCCGGAUCUGUCUCCAUCUUCCUCCCCCUCGACUGGCUGCUGGCCAUGACAGGGAGCCCAACCUCGGAGAGGAAGGACAACGAGUGGCGCAGAGGAAGCGCCGGCAGCUGUGGCUCUGCCCCGGUCGAUCCAAGGGCGCCCGUGCAGUCCACUACCUGGGUGCACGCAGCACAACGGCACUCCCCCUCCCCCCGCGCGAGAUUCGGUGGGUUGCAGGUCGUCCCUUGCCGCCGUGAGGUCGGCUUCCGAGCGCGAGCGGCAUGGCACUCUGCCGCAAGUUCCCCUCCCCUCGUCACCUCCACCUCCAUGGCCGUGCACCACUGCGGGCUACAAAGCGCGUAGUACUCGCUCGGGCUAGAUCCAGGGCGGCUCAAUUUGUGCGCAAGUGCGGUUCUUUUUCUUUUGAGUCAAGUUGUGUGUGUUGGACUAUAUGCAGUAUGGACGGCGACGCCGUGCAGCUCAUUGGCGGCGUACGUGUGAUUCGAGCGAGCACCCGAGGCACCCCUAGCGUGACCUGUUCCAGAGACUUCGGCCUCCUUCCCGCACUAGCACCGGAUCACCGGUCAGGCUCCAUUGGGCCGAGGGGAAAAGGAGGCCGGCGAGCUUGAGCCACCGCCGCCGGUGAGAUCCGUGGCGGCUGAUCCGGGGGAGGUCGCUAGGCACGACGACGACGUUCCCCUCCCUCACGUUUUGACUUCCUACCGAAUUGGGGUGGGCGUGGCCUCGAUGUGGCUGUGGCCUCCGCAUCCUCCGGCGAUGCGGACGGCUCGUGCAUGCAGUGCGCUAGCUGUGGAUGUUCAGUGCAGGUGCGCAGUUCCGGCAUCAAUUUUUUUUGUAUACUCAUUUUAGUUGGCUGGAUGUAUGUAUUUGUGAAGUUCUAUAUAUUUUCUGAAGAGGGGUUCACUCUCCGAGAAGGAGAAAAAAUGUGUGAUUCGAUUGUUUAAGUGUAUGUGUGAGGUUCAUUAUAGUAUCUAGUGAAGUUUUAUAUUUUCUGAAGAGAGGUUUGCUCUCUGAGAAGGUGAGAAAAGUACAGAAAAAUCCCAGCAUGCAGUUCUUUUCACUGAGUAAAUAGAAAAAAAACAUCUCCAAAAGAAGCUAGCUUCUUAUUAGAUGAAGUUCACACCUAAGUUGGAAUACACGCCUAACAAAAG
rnacentral:lncRNA from 1 species